rnacentral:rRNA from 1 species
AACGAACGCUGGCGGCAGGCCUAACACAUGCAAGUCGAACGCUCGUAGCAAUACGAGAGUGGCAGACGGGUGAGUAACACGUGGGAACCUUCCCUAUGGUUCGGAAUAGCUCAGGGAAACUUGAGGUAAUACCGGAUAAGCCCUUACGGGGAAAGAUUUAUCGCCAUUGGAUGGGCCCGCGUCGGAUUAGCUAGUUGGUGAGGUAACGGCUCACCAAGGCGACGAUCCGUAGCUGGUCUGAGAGGAUGAUCAGCCACACUGGGACUGAGACACGGCCCAGACUCCUACGGGAGGCAGCAGUGGGGAAUAUUGGACAAUGGGCGCAAGCCUGAUCCAGCCAUGCCGCGUGAGUGACGAAGGCCUUAGGGUUGUAACGCUCUUUUGGCGGGGAAGAUAAUGACGGUACCCGCAGAAUAAGCUCCGGCUAACUUCGUGCCAGCAGCCGCCGUAAC